GACGAACGCUGGCGGCGUGCUUAACACAUGCAAGUCGAACGGAAAGGCCCUGCUUUUGUGGGGUGCUCGCGUGGCGAACGGGUGAGUAACACGUGAGUAACCUGCCCUUGACUUUGGGAUAACUUCAGGAAACUGGGGCUAAUACCGGAUAGGAGCUCCUGCUGCAUGGUGGGGGUUGGAAAGUUUCGGCGGUUGGGGAUGGACUCGCGGCUUAUCAGCUUGUUGGUGGGGUAGUGGCUUACCAAGGCUUUGACGGGUAGCCGGCCUGAGAGGGUGACCGGCCACAUUGGGACUGAGAGACGGCCCAGACUCCUACGGGAGGCAGCAGUGGGGAAUAUUGCACAAUGGGCGGAAGCCUGAUGCAGCAACGCCGCGUGCGGGAUGACGGCCUUCGGGUUGUAAACCGCUUUCGCCUGUGACGAAGCGUGAGUGACGGUAAUGGGUAAAGAAGCACCGGCUAACUACGUG
rnacentral:rRNA from 1 species